AAGGCAAACAAAACAGCAAACAGCAAUCCGCAUGAAGAGCGGUCCAACGAAGAUUCCAGGGAUUAGCAGAGGCGUAGUCAGGCAGUCCGAGGGUCAAGGCAAGGAAGACUCACGAGUCUGGUUCCGGCAGGGUUGUUCACACGAUCAGGAAACACGAAGCUGCAAACAAGAGCUCACGGCAGGAGUUAAACACAAGGCACACGGUGAAUCCCGGCUGCGCCAUUGUUGCCAGUCAGUACUUCGGGCUCCAUCCUGCAAAGUAUUAUCUGCAACCCAAGUAUCAUCAAAACCCUGGAA